CCUACGGGAGGCAGCAGUGGGGAAUAUUGCACAAUGGGCGAAACCCUGAUGCAGCGACGCCGCGUGAGUGAAGAAGUAUUUCGGUAUGUAAAGCUCUAUCAGCAGGGAAGAAAAUGACGGUACCUGAUUAAGAAGCCCCGGCUAACUACGGGCCAGCAGCCUCGGGACUACGUAGGGGGCAAGCGUUAUCCGGAUUUACUGGGUGUAAAGGGGGCGUAGACGGCAGCACAGGUCUGGAGUGAAAUGCCGGGGCUUAACCCCGGAACUGCUGUGGAAACUGUGCAGCGAGAGUGCAGGAGAGGUAAGCGGAAUGCGUGGUGUAGCGGUGAAAUGCGUAGAUAUUAGGAAGAACACCAGUGGCGAAGGCGGCUUACUGGACUGUAACUGACGUUGAGGCUCGAAAGCGUGGGGAGCAAACAGGAUUAGAUACCCUAGUAGUC
rnacentral:rRNA from 1 species